UGUUCAGUUGGUAGAGCAGGAGAUUCUGAAUCUCAGGGUUGUGAGUUUGAGCCCCACAGCGGGCAAAA